UUAAGCGACUAAGCGUACACGGUGGAUGCCUAGGCAAUCAGAGGCGAUGAAGGACGUGCUAAUCUGCGAUAAGCGUCGGUAAGGUGAUAUGAACCGUUACAACCGACGAUUUCCGAAUGGGGAAACCCAGUGCAAUUCGUUGCACUAUCGUUUGAUGAAUACAUAGUCAAACGAAGCGAACCGGGGAACUGAAACAUCUCAGUACCCCGAGGAAAAGAAAUCAACCGAGAUUCCCCUAGUAGCGGCGAGCGAACGGGGAGCAGCCCAGAGUCUUAAUCAGCAUUAGCAUCAGGAGAACGGUCUGGAAAGUCCGGCAGUAAAGGGUGAUAGCCCCGUAUCCGAAGGUGUUAGUGUUGUGAACUCGACGAGUAGGGCGGGACACGUGUUAUCCUGUCUGAAUAUGGGGGGACCAUCCUCCAAGGCUAAAUACUCCUGAUUGACCGAUAGUGAACCAGUACCGUGAGGGAAAGGCGAAAAGAACCCCGGCGAGGGGAGUGAAAUAGAACCUGAAACCGUGUACGUACAAGCAGUGGGAGCCUUGAUUUAUCAGGGUGACUGCGUACCUUUUGUAUAAUGGGUCAGCGACUUAUAUUCUGUAGCAAGGUUAACCGUAUAGGGGAGCCGUAGGGAAACCGAGUCUUAACUGGGCGAAUAAGUUGCAGGGUAUAGACCCGAAACCCGGUGAUCUAGCCAUGGGCAGGUUGAAGGUUGGGUAACACUAACUGGAGGACCGAACCGACUAAUGUUGAAAAAAUUAGCGGAUGACUUGUGGCUGGGGUGAAAGGCCAAUCAAACCGGGAGAUAGCUGGUUCUCCCCGAAAGCUAUUUAGGUAGCGCCUCGUGAACUCAUCUUCGGGGUAGAGCACUGUUUCGACUAGGGGUCAUCCCGACUUACCAACUCGAUGCAAACUACGAAUACCGAAGAAUGUUAUCACGGGAGACACACGGCGGGUGCUAACGUUCGUCGUGAAGAGGGAAACAACCCAGACCGCCAGCUAAGGUCCCAAAGUCAUAGUUAAGUGGGAAACGAAGUGGGAAGGCUCAGACAGCCAGGAUGUUGGCUUAGAAGCAGCCAUCAUUUAAAGAAAGCGUAAUAGCUCACUGGUCGAGUCGGCCUGCGCGGAAGAUGUAACGGGGCUAAACUAUGCACCGAAGCUGCGGCAGCGAUAUUUAGAUAUUGUUGGGUAGGGGAGCGUUCUGUAAGCCUGUGAAGGUGUGCUGUGAGGCAUGCUGGAGGUAUCAGAAGUGCGAAUGCUGACAUAAGUAACGAUAAUGCGGGUGAAAACCCGCACGCCGGAAGACCAAGGGUUCCUGUCCAACGUUAAUCGGGGCAGGGUGAGUCGACCCCUAAGGCGAGGCAGAAAUGCGUAGUCGAUGGGAAACGGGUUAAUAUUCCCGUACUGGUGAUAAUUUGCGGGGGGGACGGAGAAGGCUAGGCUAUCCGGGCGACGGUUGUCCCGGUUUAAGGAUGUAGGCAGGUGAAUUAGGCAAAUCCGGUUCACUAUAUGCUGAGGUCCGAUGACGAGUCACUACGGUGAUGAAGUAGCUCAUGCCCCGCUUCCAGGAAAAGCCUCUAAGCUCUAGAUUAUCAUUAAUCGUACCCCAAACCGACACAGGUGGUCAGGUAGAGAAUACUCAGGCGCUUGAGAGAACUCGGGUGAAGGAACUAGGCAAAAUGGUGCCGUAACUUCGGGAGAAGGCACGCUGGCAUUAGGUGAAGUGAUUUACUCAUGGAGCUGAAGCCAGUCGCAGAUACCAGCUGGCUGCAACUGUUUAUUAAAAAAACACAGCACUGUGCAAACACGAAAGUGGACGUAUACGGUGUGACGCCUGCCCGGUGCUGGAAGGUUAAUUGAUGGGGUUAUCCGUAAGGAGAAGCUCUUGAUCGAAGCCCCAGUAAACGGCGGCCGUAACUAUAACGGUCCUAAGGUAGCGAAAUUCCUUGUCGGGUAAGUUCCGACCUGCACGAAUGGCGUAAUGAUGGCCAGGCUGUCUCCACCCGAGACUCAGUGAAAUUGAACUCGCUGUGAAGAUGCAGUGUACCCGCGGCAAGACGGAAAGACCCCGUGAACCUUUACUAUAGCUUGACACUGAACAUUGAGCCUUGAUGUGUAGGAUAGGUGGGAGGCUUUGAAGCGUGGACGCCAGUCUGCGUGGAGCCAACCUUGAAAUACCACCCUUUAAUGUUUGAUGUUCUAACGUUGCCCCAUUAUCUGGGGUGCGGACAGUGUCUGGUGGGUAGUUUGACUGGGGCGGUCUCCUCCCAAAGAGUAACGGAGGAGCACGAAGGUUGGCUAAGCAUGGUCGGACAUCAUGCGGUUAGUGCAAAGGCAUAAGCCAGCUUGACUGCGAGAGUGACGGCUCGAGCAGGUACGAAAGUAGGUCUUAGUGAUCCGGUGGUUCUGAAUGGAAGGGCCAUCGCUCAACGGAUAAAAGGUACUCCGGGGAUAACAGGCUGAUACCGCCCAAGAGUUCAUAUCGACGGCGGUGUUUGGCACCUCGAUGUCGGCUCAUCACAUCCUGGGGCUGAAGUAGGUCCCAAGGGUACGGCUGUUCGCCGUUUAAAGUGGUACGCGAGCUGGGUUUAGAACGUCGUGAGACAGUUCGGUCCCUAUCUGCCGUGGGCGUUGGAAGAUUGAAAGGGGCUGCUCCUAGUACGAGAGGACCGGAGUGGACGCACCACUGGUGUUCGGGUUGUCAUGCCAAUGGCAUUGCCCGGUAGCUAAGUGCGGAAGAGAUAACCGCUGAAAGCAUCUAAGCGGAAACUUGCCUUGAGAUGAGUCUUCCCUGACUCUUUAAGGGUCCUAAAGGAACGUUUAAGACUAAGACGUUGAUAGGUUGGGUGUGUAAGCGUAGCGAUACGUUGAGCUAACCAAUACUAAUGAACCGUGAGGCUUAACCUG
rnacentral:rRNA from 1 species